rnacentral:rRNA from 1 species
GAUGAACGCUAGCUACAGGCUUAACACAUGCAAGUCGAGGGGAAACGAUAGAGAAAGCUUGCUUUUUCUAGGCGUCGACCGGCGCACGGGUGAGUAACGCGUAUCCAACCUGCCCAUCACUUGGGGAUAACCUUGCGAAAGUAAGACUAAUACCCAAUGACGUCUCUAGAAGACAUCUGAAAGAGAUUAAAGAUUUAUCGGUGAUGGAUGGGGAUGCGUCUGAUUAGCUUGUUGGCGGGGUAACGGCCCACCAAGGCGACGAUCAGUAGGGGUUCUGAGAGGAAGGUCCCCCACAUUGGAACUGAGACACGGUCCAAACUCCUACGGGAGGCAGCAGUGAGGAAUAUUGGUCAAUGGACGAGAGUCUGAACCAGCCAAGUAGCGUGCAGGAUGACGGCCCUAUGGGUUGUAAACUGCUUUUAUAAGGGAAUAAAGUGAGUCUCGUGAGACUUUUUGCAUGUACCUUAUGAAUAAGGACCGGCUAAUUCCGUGCCAGCCGCCGCAGUAA